rnacentral:rRNA from 1 species
CUCGUAGGCGGUUCGUCGCGUCCGGUGUGAAAGUCCAUCGCUUAACGGUGGAUCCGCGCCGGGUACGGGCGGGCUUGAGUGCGGUAGGGGAGACUGGAAUUCCCGGUGUAACGGUGGAAUGUGUAGAUAUCGGGAAGAACACCAAUGGCGAAGGCAGGUCUCUGGGCCGUCACUGACGCUGAGGAGCGAAAGCGUGGGGAGCGAAC